rnacentral:rRNA from 1 species
AGGCAGCAGUGGGGAAUAUUGCACAAUGGGCGAAAGCCUGAUGCAGCAACGCCGCGUGAACGAUGAAGGCCUUCGGGUCGUAAAGUUCUGUUCUAAGGGAAGAAUAAAUGACGGUACCUUAGAAGAAAGCCCCGGCUAACUGCGUGCCAGCAGCCGCGGUAAUACGUAGGGGGCAAGCGUUAUCCGGAAUCAUUGGGCGUAAAGGGUGCGUAGGCGGUUAUGCAAGUUAGAGGUGAAAGGCUACGGCUCAACCGUAGUAAGCCUUUAAAACUGCAUAACUUGAGUGCAGGAGAGGAGAGUGGAAUUCCUAGUGUAGCGGUGAAAUGCGUAGAUAUUAGGAGGAACACCAGUGGCGAAGGCGACUCUCUGGACUGUAACUGACGCUGAGGCACGAAAGCGUGGGGAGCGAACAGGAUUAGAUACCCUGGUAGUCACGCCGUAAACGAUGAUCACUAAGUGUGGGGGGUCGAACCUCCGUGCUCAAGCUAACGCGAUAAGUGAUCCGCCUGGGGAGUACGCACGCAAGUGUGAAACUCAAAGGAAUUGACGG